rnacentral:rRNA from 1 species
CUACGGGGUGCUCCAGUGGGGAAUAUUGGACAAUGGGGGCAACCCUGAUCCAGCAAUGCCGCGUGUGCGAAGAAGGCCUGCGGGUUGUAAAGCACUUUCGGUUGGGAGGACUGCUUCUAGCACUAAUAUUGUUGGAAGUUGACGUUACCUUCAGAAGAAGCACCGGCUAACUCCGUGCCAGCAGCCGCGGUAAUACGGAGGGUGCAAGCGUUAAUCGGAAUUACUGGGCGUAAAGCGCGCGUAGGCGGCUAGAUCAGUCGGGUGUGAAAGCCCCGGGCUUAACCUGGGAACUGCAUCCGAUACUGUCUAGCUUGAGUACAGGAGAGGAGAGUGGAAUUCCACAUGUAGCGGUGAAAUGCGUAGAUAUGUGGAGGAACACCAAUGGCGAAGGCAGCUCCCUGGCCUGAUACUGACGCUGAGGUGCGAAAACGUGGGGAGCAAACAGGAUUAGAUACCCCAGUAGUC